UACGUAGGGGGCAAGCGUUGUCCGGAAUCAUUGGGCGUAAAGCGCGCGUAGGCGGCCCGGUAAGUCCGUUGUGAAAGUCAAAGGCUCAACCUUUGAACGCCGAUGGAUACUGUCAAGCUUGAGUCCGGAAGAGGCGAGUGGAAUUCCCGGUGUAGCGGUGAAAUGCGCAGAUAUCGGGAGGAACACCAAUGGCGAAGGCAGCUCGCUGGGACGUGACUGACGCUGAGACGCGAAAGCGUGGGGAGCAAACAGG
rnacentral:rRNA from 1 species